AAGACUCGUUCAUCACUUCAGCGUCUUGAGGAAGAAAAUGCUCAUCUACAGCUAGAACUUCAAGCUAGAGAUGAUCUCAUCAGGGCAGCAGAAGAUGACCAAAGACAGCAUGCAGAAGACAUGUCUAAA